rnacentral:rRNA from 1 species
UACGUAGGGUGCUAGCGUUGUUCGGAAUCAUUGGGCGUAAAGCGCGUGUAGGUUGUUAUGUAAGUCGGAUGUGAAAUCCCUGGGCUCAACCGAGGAAGUGCAUCCGAAACUACAUAGCUAGAGGACGGUAGAGGAAGGUGGAAUUCCAAGUGUAGAGGUGAAAUUCGUAGAUAUUUGGAGGAAUACCGGCGGCGAAGGCGGCCUUCUGGGCCGUUCCUGACACUGAGACGCGAAAGCGUGGGGAGCAAACAGG